AUUUGGCGGACGGGUGAGUAAUGCCUAGGAAUCUGCCUGGUAGUGGGGGAUAACGUUCCGAAAGGAACGCUAAUACCGCGUACGUCCUACGGGAGAAAGCAGGGGACCUUCGGGCCUUGCGCUAUCAGAUGAGCCUAGGUCGGAUUAGCUAGUUGGUGAGGUAAUGGCUCACCAAGGCGACGAUCCGUAACUGGUCUGAGAGGAUGAUCAGUCACACUGGAACUGAGACACGGUCCAGACUCCUACGGGGGGCAGCAGGGGGAAUUUUGGACAAUGGGCGAAAGCCUGAUCCAGCCAUGCCGCGUGUGUGAAGAAGGUCUUCGGAUUGUAAAGCACUUUAAGUUGGGAGGAAGGGCAUUAACCUAAUACGUUAGUGUUUUGACGUUACCGACAGAAUAAGCACCGGCUAACUCUGUGCCAGCAGCCGCGGUAAUAAU
rnacentral:rRNA from 1 species